rnacentral:rRNA from 1 species
AGAGUUUGAUCCUGGCUCAGGAUGAACGCUAGCGGCAGGCCUAACACAUGCAAGCCGAGGGGCAGCACUGGUAGCAAUACCUGGUAGCGACCGGCGCACGGGUGAGUAACGCGUAUGCAACCUACCCUCUACAGGGAGAUAGCCCGGAGAAAUUCGGAUUAAUACCCCAUAGUAUUAAGAUAUCGCAUGGUAUUUUGAUUAAAGCUUUGGUGGUAGAGGAUGGGCAUGCGUGCCAUUAGUUAGUUGGCAGGGUAACAGCCUACCAUGACGAUGAUGGCUAGGGGUUCUAAAAGGAUGAUCCCCCACACUGGUACUGAGACACGGACCAGACUCCUACGGGAGGCAGCAGUGAGGAAUAUUGGUCAAUGGGUGCAAGCCUGAACCAGCCAUGCCGCGUGCAGGAAGACGGCCCUAGUGGUUGUAAACUGCUUUUUUACGGGAGUAAUAUCCCCGACGUGUCGGGGUUUGCAAGUACUGUAAGAAUAAGCAUCGGCUAACUCCGUGCCAGCAGCCGCGGUAAUACGGAGGAUGCAAGCGUUAUCCGGAUUUAUUAGGUUUAAAGGGUGCGUAGGCUGUAUUGUUAGUCAGUGGUGAAAUCUUUCGGCUUAACCGGGAAACUGCCAUUGAUACUGCAGUACUUGAGUACAGUUGAGGUAGGCGGAAUGUGUAAUGUAGCGGUGAAAUGCAUAGAUAUUACACAGAACACCGAUUGCGAAGGCAGCUUACUAAGCUGAUACUGACGCUGAAGCACGAAAGCGUGGGGAUCGAACAGGAUUAGAUACCCUGGUAGUCCACGCUGUAAACGAUGAGCACUCGCUGUUGGCGAUAUUACUGCCAGUGGCUGAGCGAAAGCAUUAAGUGCUCCACCUGGGGAGUACGUCGGCAACGAUGAAACUCAAAGGAAUUGACGGGGGCCCGCACAAGCGGUGGAACAUGUGGUUUAAUUCGAUGAUACGCGAGGAACCUUACCUGGGUUUGAAUUCAGAACGACGAAUUCCGAAAGGAGUUUUCCCUUCGGGGCGUUCUGGAAGGUGCUGCAUGGCUGUCGUCAGCUCGUGCCGUGAGGUGUCGGGUUAAGUCCCAUAACGAGCGCAACCCCUAUCGUUAGUUGCCAUCGGUUCGGCCGGGCACUCUAGCGAGACUGCCACCGUAAGGUGAGAGGAAGGUGGGGAUGACGUCAAGUCAGCACGGCCCUUACGUCCAGGGCUACACACGUGUUACAAUGGCCGGUACAAAGGGCAGCUACAUGGUGACAUGAUGCUAAUCUCGAAAACCGGUCUCAGUUCGGAUCGAAGUCUGCAACCCGACUUCGUGAAGCUGGAAUCACUAGUAAUCGCGCAUCAGCAACGGCGCGGUGAAUACGUUCCCGGGCCUUGUACACACCGCCCGUCAAGCCAUGGAAGCCGGGGGUACCUGAAGUCUGUAACCGAAAGGAACGGCCUAGGGUAAAACUGGUGACUGGGGCUAAGUCGUAACAAGGUA